rnacentral:rRNA from 1 species
AUUGAACGCUGGCGACAUGCCUUACACAUGCAAGUCGAACGGCAGCACGGGUGCUUGCACCUGGUGGCGAGUGGCGAACGGGUGAGUAAUACAUCGGAACAUGUCCUGUAGUGGGGGAUAGCCCGGCGAAAGCCGGAUUAAUACCGCAUACGAUCUACGGAUGAAAGCGGGGGACCUUCGGGCCUCGCGCUAUAGGGUUGGCCGAUGGCUGAUUAGCUAGUUGGUGGGGUAAAGGCCUACCAAGGCGACGAUCAGUAGCUGGUCUGAGAGGCAGACCAGCCACACUGGGACUGAGACACGGCCCAGACUCCUACGGGAGGCAGCAGUGGGGAAUUUUGGACAAUGGGCGAAAGCCUGAUCCAGCAAUGCCGCGUGUGUGAAGAAGGCCUUCGGGUUGUAAAGCACUUUUGUCCGGAAAGAAAUCCUUGGCCCUAAUACGGUCGGGGGAUGACGGUACCGGAAGAAUAAGCACCGGCUAACUACGUG